UUUUUCUUUCUUUCAACUCUAUAAUUGUCCUAACAUGUAAAAAAACUUGAAUGUUUGAGUAUUAUGGCAGAAUAGAGAUGGCGGAUGGGGACUUCAUAUCGAGGGUCAAAGCAGAAUGUUUGGCACAGCCAUGAUCUAUAUCACUUUAAGAUUACUCGACAAAGAGGCUGAAGAGGAAGCAGUCGAAAGAGGUCGUGAGUGGAUCCUCCGCCAUGGAACUGCAACUGCAAUCUCCUCUUGGGGGAAAAUGUACUUGAAGCAAAUGAAUGGUGUGAAUAAUCCAAUGCCACCAGAAUUAUUGCUUUGCCCCGACCUCCUUCCCUGUCAUCCAGAUCCAGAAAAUUCAAAUAUGAAGCUAGAUCGAGGAAAGGAAAAAGUUCAGGAUUCGUAGAUUUUUGUAUACAAACAAGUAUCGAGUAUUAAGAGCUCGGAGGUCGGAUUGGGUCGGAGACACAUCACACUAUCAACCUCAACAUUUUGGUAUAUCAAGAAACUUUAUUUUGGAAAUCAAUGGCAUGUAUAAGUUAAUAAAGUAAAUGUUAAUGUGAAAUGAAUGUAAAGUUAGCCAUUGGUAUGGUUACCAAA